rnacentral:rRNA from 1 species
UACGUAGGGGGCAAGCGUUGUCCGGAUUUAUUGGGCGUAAAGAGCGUGUAGGCGGCCAAGCAGGUCCGCUGUGAAAACUCGAGGCUCAACCUUGAGACGUCGGUGGAAACCGUUUGGCUAGAGUCCGGAAGAGGAGAGUGGAAUUCCCGGUGUAGCGGUGAAAUGCGCAGAUAUCGGGAAGAACACCCCGUGGCGAAGGCGGCUCUCUGGGACGGUACUGACGCUGAGACGCGAAAAGCGUGGGGGAGCGAACAGG